rnacentral:rRNA from 1 species
GAAAGGGGCGGUAAUACCAGAUAAUGUCCUUCGGGACCAAAGAUUUAUCGGCAUUGGAGCGGCCUAUCUCCUAUCAGCUUGUUGGUGAGGUAACGGCUCACCAAGGCAGCGACGGGUAGCGGGACUGAGAGGUUGGCCCGCCACAUCGGGACUGAGACACUGCCCGGAGCUCCACGGAGGGCUGCAGUAACGGAUAUUGGGCAAUGGGCGAAAGCCUGACCCAGCAAUGCCGCGUGCAGGAUGAAGCCCCUAGGGGUGUAAACUGCUGUCAGGGGUCAGAAAGCUGGUUUCGGCCAGUUGAUCAACCCCAGAGGAAGUCACGGCUAACUUCGUGCCAGCAGCCGCGGUAAUACGAAGGUGGCAAGCGUUAUUCGGAAUCAUUGGGCUUAAAGGGCACGCAGGCGGAACAGUGUGUGUGUGUGAAAUCCCCCGGCUUAACCGGGGAAUUGCACAGCAAACUGCUGUUCUUGAGGCAGGUAGGGGUGCAUUGGAACUCUUGGUGGAGCGGUGGAAUGCGUAGAUAUCAAGAGGAACGCCAGAGGUGAAGACGGUGCACUGGGCCUGUCCUGACGCUGAGGUGCGAAAGCGUGGGGAGCGAACGGGAUUAGAUACCCCGGUAGUCCACGCCGUAAACGAUGUCUACUAGGUCGUGGGUGUUCUGACACAUUCACGGCCGGAGCAAAAGUGUUCAGUAGACCGCCUGGGGAGUACGGCCGCAAGGUUAAAACUCAAAUGAAUUGACGGGGGCUCACACAAGCGGUGGAGCAUGUGGAUUAACUCGAAGCAACGCGCAGAACCUUACCUGGGUUUGACAUGCUUGUAUGCCUUCUCUGAAAGGAGUUAGGCUGCCUUCGGGUGAAACUUGCACAGGUGCUGCAUGGCUGUCGUCAGCUCGUGUCGUGAGAUGUCGGGUUAAGUCCUUUAACGAGCGAAACCCUUGCCGUUAGUUGCCAGCGAGUAAUGUCGGGGACUCUAACGGGACUGCCGGUGUUAAACCGGAGGAAGGUGGGGAUGACGUCAAGUCCUCAUGGCCUUUAUGCCCAGGGCUUCACACGUGCUACAAUGGCAAUUACAGAGCGACGCGAUACCGCGAGGUGGAGCAAAUCGCAAA